rnacentral:rRNA from 1 species
UCGCUCUUCAACGAGGAAUCCCUAGUAAGCACAAGUCACCAGCUUGUGCUGAUUACGUCCCUGCCCUUUGUACACACCGCCCGUCGCUACUACCGAUUGAAUGGCUUAGUGAGGCCCUCGGAUCGACUUUCUGAGACUGGCAACAGUCUCUGAUUGUUGAGAAGUUGGUCAAACUUGGUCAUUUAGAGGAAGUAAAAGUCGUAACAAGGUUUCCGUAGGUGAACCUGCGGAAGGAUCAUUAAUGAUUUGGCGAUCCUAACGUUAGUUAGGCUUUGCGAUCACUUAUUUAAAACCCAACUCUUAAAUGUAUAAUUUAUGUAUUUCUUGAUAAGAAAAAUAAAGAUCACUUUCAACAACGGAUCUCUUGGCUCUCGCAUCGAUGAAGAACGUAGCGAAGUGCGAUAAGUAAUGUGAAUUGCAGAAUUCCGUGAAUCAUCGAAUCUUUGAACGCAAAUUGCACUUUCUGGUAUUCCGGAAAGUAUGCCUGUUUGAGGGUCAGUUAAAUAAAAAUCGGUGUUGUUGCUGCUAUUAGUGGUGGUGCAUCGGAAUUGAGUUGUUCUUUGCCCUUUGGUUAAGUGACUUAAAAUUUGUACGAUUUUUGAACGUAUUUAAAUUAUUUACGUACGUUCAUAAUAUCAUAUAUUAGGUGCGGUCAUUCUUAUGAUUUCGCGCCUAUAAUKUUWUUCAUUAUUUGACCUCAAAUCAGGUAAGAAUACCCGCUGAACUUAAGCAUAUCAAUAAGCGGAGGAAAAGAAAAUAACAAUGAUUCCCUUAGUAACKGCGAGUGAAGRGGGAYAAGCUCAAAUUUUAAAUCUGYUAGGUAGAACCURWCMGAGUUGUAAUUUGAAGAGGYGUUUUCCGCGUYUYUGGUCAGUCCAAGUCCUUUGGAAUGAGGCAUCAUGGAGGGUGAGAAUCCCGUUCGGCUGACCAGAUUCGUUUUAUGAUACACUUUCAAAGAGUCAAGUUGUUUGGGAUUGCAGCUUAAAAUGGGAGGUAAAUUUCUCCUAAGGCUAAAUAUUGGCGAGAGACCGAUAGCGAACAAGUACCGUGAGGGAAAGAUGAAAAGUACUUUGAAAAGAGAGUUAAAUAGUACGUGAAAUUGUUGAAAGGGAAACGAUUGAAGCCAGUCGUACUCAUGGGUAAUCAACCUUUCUGGCGCGAUUAUGUGGACGUGUUGGAGCCUAAUCAGCCCUCAUGUUUUUAUAUUCGUUCCCCUUGGGUGUACUUGCCCGUGCGGUAGGUUAACAUCAAUUUCGGACGUCAUAAAAUGACGGGAGGAAUGUAGCUUUGGUCUCGUACUGAAGUGUUAUAGCCUCUGGUAGAUGUGACGUCUGGGAUUGAGGAUUGCAACGGAUACCUUUCGGGGCUACCUGCCUGGCCUCUGAUGGUUGCUUUGGUGUCGAAAGCUUGCUUACGGUCAUCAAAGUUGAUUGUCAAAAGGUUAGAACAGGUUAAAUUCGUUAAGGAUGUUGACGUAAUGGCUUUAAACGACCCGUCUUGAAACACGGACCAAGGAGUCUAACAUAUAUGCGAGUGUU